rnacentral:rRNA from 1 species
UACGAAGGGUGCAAACGUUGCUCGGAAUUAUUGGGCGUAAAGCGCACGUAGGCGGCUUUGUAAGUUGGAUGUGAAAGCCCUCGGCUCAACCAAGGAAGUGCAUCCAAAACUACAGAGCUUGAGUACUUAAGAGGAUCGCGGAAUUCCCGGUGUAGAGGUGAAAUUCGUAGAUAUUCGCAAGAACACCAGUGGCGAAGGCGGCUCACUGGCCCGGUACUGACGCUGAGGUGCGAAAGCGUGGGGAGCAAACGGG